ensembl:lncRNA
UAUUAUUAUUGUAAUAUAUUUUAUACAUGUGGUCUUGUUCAUACAAAUAAUAAUCAUUUAUCCUCUCUUUUAUUUUAUUUCAUUUUUUGCUUCCUUAAGUUUUUAUAACAUGUAAAUGAUGUAAUUAUAACUUUAUGCAUAAUGCAAAUUGUAUAUACCAUUUUUUAUUUUAUUUUAUUUUUUUUGUGUUUACACAGCCUACCACUUUUUUAUUUUAUUUUUUUUAUGUUACGAUAGAGUGAAGUCGAAAGAAUGAUAUGGGAGUUCGACGACAACCUGGAUAGUUGUUUAGAUUAUGAUGAACUUUACUUUUUAUAUUUAAGAUGUGUUAAUGAUAAAAAGAAGCAAAUACCAAGUGACUUGUAUCAUAUUAUUCAAUUUUUUAUGUUCGAUUAUGAAAUGAAUGGAUAUAUAACUGUAGAAAAAACCUUACAAAUAUUAUACGUACGUUUUGGUAGAGAAAAAAUGGAUGCAGAAGUACAAGAAAUUUUUGGAGAAAAGUUCGAAGAUGAAUCUGGGGUAGAAAAACAGCUUUUUUUAAAAGAAUAUUUAGAAAAUGAAAAAAAAAGGAUCCGUAAUUUCAGAAGCACUAAUCGCAAAAAGAGUAAAAAAGUGUAACAUUCAGUAAAAUGGGUAAAAUUAAAAAAGAAAUGUGAAAAAAAAGGAAUGUGAAAAAAAAAGGAAUGUGAAAAAAAAAGGAAUGUGAAAAAAAAAGGAAUGUGAAAAAAAAAGGAAUGUGAAAAAAAAAGGAAUGUGAAAAAAAAAGGAAUGUGAAAAAAAAAGAAAUGUGAAAAAAAAAGGAAUGUGAAAAAAAAAGGAAUGUGAAAAAAAAAGGAAUAGGAAAAAAAAAGGAAUGUGAAAAAAAAAGGAAUAGGAAAAAAAAGAAAGAAGAUAGUGACAUUUUAUACUAUGAAAAAUUGAUUCAAUGCGUAAUAAUGCAACUUCACUUUUUGAUUGUUUCAUGAUAAAUAGGUUAUUGCUAUACCUGUUGUUAAUAUGAUAAAAUGUAAGUUGUCUUUUAACUUUGGUAUAUCAGCGUCGAUAUGUUUAAAAAGUGUACAUAUAUAUAUAUAUAUACACAGUUGACGCUUCUUAAUAAGCAUAAAAAAAAAAAAAAAAAAAAAACCAAGUGCUUUACGCAGUUGCAUAACAAUAUUUAUUUCCAAGUUUUUAAUUAUUCAUUUCAUAUGUAAAUUAGCCUUAUAAACAGACAACAUUUAUCUUUGUCUCAGUGAAUAGGUGUGCAGCAUAUAUAUAUAUACAUGUAUAUGUGUUGACCCGAGUCGAUUUGUACAUUAUAAAUAAAUACAUGUAUAUGUGUUGACCCGAGUC